rnacentral:rRNA from 1 species
GAGUUUGAUCCUGGCUCAGGACGAACGCUGGCGGCGCGCCUAACACAUGCAAGUCGAACGGAGUCAAGAGGAGCUUGCUUUUCUUGACUUAGUGGCGAACGGGUGAGUAACGCGUGAGUAACCUGCCCUGGAGUGGGGGACAACAGUUGGAAACGACUGCUAAUACCGCAUAAGCCCACGAUCCGGCAUCGGAUUGAGGGAAAAGGAUUUAUUCGCUUCAGGAUGGACUCGCGUCCAAUUAGCUAGUUGGUGAGGUAACGGCCCACCAAGGCGACGAUUGGUAGCCGGACUGAGAGGUUGAACGGCCACAUUGGGACUGAGACACGGCCCAGACUCCUACGGGAGGCGGCAGUGGGGAAUAUUGCACAAUGGGGGAAACCCUGAUGCAGCGACGCCGCGUGGAGGAAGAAGGUCUUCGGAUUGUAAACUCCUGUUGUUGAGGAAGAUAAUGACGGUACUCAACAAGGAAGUGACGGCUAACUACGUGCCAGCAGCCGCGGUAAUAC